ensembl:lncRNA novel transcript
GAUCUUUUCCACGAUGCAGGUUUGUUACAGCAAUAUGAAAUUCUGGCUUGCUCUCUUUCUACUUAUCUAUAGAAAUAUUGCUAAAACGGAGUUUUGCUCUUGUAGCCCAGGCUGGAGUCCAAUGGUGCGAUCUUGGCUCACUGCAACCGCCGCCUCCCAGGUUCAAGCGAUUCUUCCGUCUCAGCCUUCCGAGUAGCUGGGAUUACAGGUGCACGUCACCACGCCCAGCACAUUUUUGUAUAUUUUUAGUAGAGACAGGAUUUCACCAUUGUUGGCCAGGCUAGUCUAGAACUCCUUUAGAGCUCUUCUCCUUAAGGGAGAAGAUUUAUUAUUCUCGAGGAUAAUAAAUCGAGGAGGAAGAUUUACUAUCCUUGAAGGGGUCUGUUUUGGAAGCUGCCAUGCCCUCAGCCCCUAAAUAAAAAUAUAAAACCUAAAUAUAAAAGGUGCCAUGCCCUCAGCCCCUAAAUAUAAAUAUAAGGAUCCAAUUUUUUGGAUCCACUAUAAGGAUCCAAAGGUCAGUUCUAGAACUCGUGAGGUCUCCUUUUUUUGGAUCCAAUAUAAGGAUCCAAUUAUUUUCUUCUGCAUGUAAAUACCCAAUUUUUAAAUGCCAUUUAUUUAAGAGAUUGCCCAUUUCUCAUUGUGUGUUCUUGAAAUUUCUGUCAAAAAUCAAUUGACUGUAAAUGGGCAGGUUUAUGGGCUUUCUAUCCUGUUCCAUAAGUCAACGUGUCUGUUUUUAUGCUAACGCCAUG